AUUGAACGCUGGCGGCAGGCCUAACACAUGCAAGUCGAACGAGUGGCGGACGGGUGAGUAAUGUAUGGGGAACUGCCUGAUGGAGGGGGAUAACUACUGGAAACGGUAGCUAAUACCGCAUACCAUCGGAUGUGCCCAUAUGGGAUUAGCUUGUAGGUGGGGUAAAGGCUCACCAAGGCGACGAUCCCUAGCUGGUCUGAGAGGAUGACCAGCCACACUGGGAAUGAGACACGGUCCAGACUCCUACGGGAGGCAGCAGUGGGGAAUAUUGCACAAUGGGCGCAAGCCUGAUGCAGCCAUGCCGCGUGUAUGAAGAAGGCCUUCGGGUUGUAAAGUACUUUCAGCGGGGAGGCGUUACCCGCAGAAGAAGCACCGGCUAACUCCGUGCCAGCAGCCGCGGUAAUUC
rnacentral:rRNA from 1 species